AGAGUUUGAUCAUGGCUCAGAUUGAACGCUGGCGGCAGGCUUAACACAUGCAAGUCGAGCGGGGUGAGGUGCUUCGGUACUGAUCCUAGCGGCGGACGGGUGAGUAAAGCUUAGGAAUCUGCCAUUUAGUGGGGGACAACAUUCCGAAAGGGGUGCUAAUACCGCAUACGCCCUACGGGGGAAAGCAGGGGAUCUUCGGACCUUGCGCUAAAUGAUGAGCCUAAGUCGGAUUAGCUAGUUGGUGGGGUAAAGGCCUACCAAGGCGACGAUCUGUAGCGGGUCUGAGAGGAUGAUCCGCCACACUGGGACUGAGACACGGCCCAGACUCCUACGGGAGGCAGCAGUGGGGAAUAUUGGACAAUGGGGGGAACCCUGAUCCAGCCAUGCCGCGUGUGUGAAGAAGGCCUUUUGGUUGUAAAGCACUUUAAGCGAGGAGGAGGCUACUGGUACUAAUACUACCAGCUAGUGGACGUUACUCGCAGAAUAAGCACCGGCUAACUCUGUGCCAGCAGCCGCGGUAAUACAGAGGGUGCGAGCGUUAAUCGGAUUUACUGGGCGUAAAGCGUGCGUAGGUGGCUUUUUAAGUCGGAUGUGAAAUCCCCGAGCUUAACUUGGGAAUUGCAUUCGAUACUGGAAGGCUAGAGUAUGGGAGAGGAUGGUAGAAUUCCAGGUGUAGCGGUGAAAUGCGUAGAGAUCUGGAGGAAUACCGAUGGCGAAGGCAGCCAUCUGGCCUAAUAC
rnacentral:rRNA from 1 species